UACGAAGGGAGCUAGCGUUACUCGGAAUCACUGGGCGUAAAGCGCAUGUAGGCGGAAUUAUAAGUCAGGGGUGAAAUCCCGGGGCUCAACCCCGGAAUUGCCUUUGAAACUGUAAUACUUGAGUAUGGUAGAGGAUAGUGGAAUUUCCAGUGUAGAGGUGAAAUUCGUAGAUAUUGGAAAGAACACCGGUGGCGAAGGCGGCUAUCUGGACCAUUACUGACGCUGAGAUGCGAAAGCGUGGGGAGCGAACAGG
rnacentral:rRNA from 1 species